GUGGGAACGGGAGUUCAUCAGAUCAGACCGUACGCUGACAGAGAAAAAGUUCCCAUCCGAAAUGGUGGCCCAGUCUUCCCUUCUUCAUCGGAGCAAAAUUCCAAAUGGCUUUGAAAAUUUUGUAAGCGCAACCCACGGAUGGGGAUUGGCACUGGCAGCUACUCCUACGCAACGGAAUCAGGUGGGGAUCGUGUGGAAUUUUGGGUAUUUGAGCCGACUACAGAGCCUAAUGCACCAAUCACUGCCCUCCACCUGUGUCCCAGUGGCUGCUGUCGCCGACGUUGAGAAAUAGAAAGUAGAAACCACACUCCUUGUCGGUGUUUUCUUGAGUCAAAUCUCUAAAGUGGGUGCGGGAAUGAAUUCAAGGGAGGCUUCAUCCGAACAUAUUUGUUGGCGCUGGUAGGAACUUCCCAUCAAUUUCUCUUCUUCCUAUAUAACGCUGAUUUUUUUGAAGAAAGCUGCAUAUCCAGUUUUAGGUCACAUUUCCUUUUCUCUCUCCAUUGUACUCCUAAAUACCCUGUCAUCCAUAUAAUUGAUUACCCAAUUCGGUUCCAUUGUCAUGGCGCUUGGAGAGUUGGAGAGGAAGUUUGAAGAGUUGAAAGAUAUCAAUGAGAAGCAAGAAUCAAGGGUGCGUUACUAUGAGACCAAAGUCCAGAACAUCGUUUUUGGCUACCUCAUUUUCACACGCUUGUUCUUCUUUGGUAUCUCUCAGACUUCUUCCUCCUUCAACUGCAAGGAUUGGAUCAUUUUUUUUCUUUCCGAAGGUUGGAUUUCUAUGUUUCAUAACUCCAGCCCCUUGCCACAAACUUAAGAGCAUACAGAUUCCUCCCUCAUAUAUGAUCUUCAAGACAUCAUUGGUAAAGAAGAGAUUUCUCUGAGGCAGAAAUGUGGACUAACGAGGGGGAGCAGUGCAAAAUAGAGCAAAUGAGGGAGCGCAUAUUGUUAUGGAGAACCACUUCCUAACUAUAUUGCCAAAAUGCAGGAUAUUAUCUGUUGACGAAAGAGCACGAUUGGAAGAUCACAAAUGCGUUCGUAUAUCUCGGAAUUUUGUUGUUAUGGAGAAAAGGAAUACUGCAUCUUCAACCACGAAGCGAUUUCCUUUUAACACAUUUGCUCUGGCUCUAUCUUGGUAAAAAAAGACUCUUAUUUCCUAAAUCAUGCUGACGGGUCGGUAUAGCCAGUGACUGACAAAAAUGUCGAGAAAACUUCCAUUUCUUAUUUCAACACUCUAUUCUAAAGCUCCAAGAACUAGAUUUAUAUCCCUUAAUCCUGAGGUGCAGAAUGCCUUUUUGGAGGCUAAUUUAAUUGGACUUGAAACCUACCAAGCCAUCAAAAGCUUGUUCCAGACGAUUUCAUGGCCAAAUUCUUUGAAAACUUACGUAACAUCCUCAAAAUCUAACAUUUUGAUAUUGUUCCAGGUCUUUGUGACUCAAUUUGGAGCUUUGAAAGUUGGAGAGGAUAAUGGCUCUCAUUUUUCUUCCUCAUCUCAAUUUGGAGUCUUCUGUUCAUGACUCGUGAAUGAAGGAAAAAAAAAAGGAAGGGAGAAGAUAAAAAGAAGUAAUAGGCAAAAUGGAGAUGAUCCCAAAGGAAGUUCCCCAGUUGGUCUCACUCACCCUCAAUUUGCAGAACGUGCUACAAGUCUGAGGAGUUCUUACUCAUUUGCCGCCUCUUCCUUCAUUUUCCUUUGCCUGGAAUGGUGGUACCAUCUUUUUCAGAUCUUUAAUGUUUCGGUAUCUAUACCAAACUGCAUAAAUUGAUGAAUUUUUUAAGGUUUGUUGGGUAUGAGGUAUAAAAACAAAGCGAAAGUGCUGUGGAACUGUUUUUUUUGGGAUAUUUUGUGAUUGAUAUGGAAAGAAAGGAACAGACGAGUUUUUUAAGAUUUAGAUUCUUUUUCUGCUGAGGAUUUUUUUGUGGCGCAAUGUACAUCAUAUAUGUCUUCGUGAUAUUAUAUCAUUAUCUGUAUUAGUGAUAUUUUGUUGAUAUUUUUCUAUAUUUUGUCAAAUUUUUAUAAUACUAUGAAAAUUUCGCUUUACCCUUCACAUUGAUGUCGAAGCUAUAUGGACACAUGGGAAUGUUCAUGAAAAUUUAAUACUCUUACUGUUGGCAAGGACUUGAGGUCUCGUGGUUUUAGAUGUCUCAAAUUUUGAGCCUUAAGGUGAGUUUAAUGCAAAAAAAUUCUUGAUGUUUUUUGGUCCGAGUCUUGGGACAGGCACAGGUACUCCCAGAUAUAGGGAAAGAAAGCUCCGACUUUCGGGUUAUCAAGGAAAAAAAAAAGAAAAAAAGAUUUUUGAAGUUUAGUGAUGGAAUUGGAGUCAUGACCGAAAAUCGAGAUUCAGCCAACUCGAAGAUAUUUUGUAUUUUUUAAUGGAAUUUUGUAAAUCUCAAUAGUGGAAUGUUUGUUUACUUAAAAAAAUGUUUAGAAUAUUGUCGAAUAUGUUUUAACUUUUUAGGCAACAUCUUAACUCCAAAAGAAGACGUUAUGUGAUCAUCUUUGUAAACGUUGUACGAGUAUAU